rnacentral:ncRNA from 1 species
CCAGGCUCCGGGUGUCGCUGACUAUUCAGUGACCGGGCUUGGAAACCCGAAGA